rnacentral:tRNA from 1 species
GCCGGUGUGGUGGAACGGUAGACACCGGGGACUUAAAAUCCCCUGGGAGCAAUCCCGUGCCUGUUCGAGUCAGGUCACCGGCACCA